UACGGGGGGGGCAAGCGUUGUUCGGAAUUACUGGGCGUAAAGGGCUCGUAGGCGGCCAACUAAGUCAGACGUGAAAUCCCUCGGCUUAACCGGGGAACUGCGUCUGAUACUGGAUGGCUUGAGUUUGGGAGAGGGAUGCGGAAUUCCAGGUGUAGCGGUGAAAUGCGCAGAUAUCAGGAGGAACACCGGUGGCGAAGGCGGUUCUCUGGGCAUGAUCUGACGCUGAGGAGCGAAAGCAUGGGGAGCGAACAGG
rnacentral:rRNA from 1 species